UACGUAGGGUGCGAGCGUUGUCCGGAAUUACUGGGCGUAAAGAGCUCGUAGGCGGUGUGUCGCGUCGGCCGUGAAAACCUGGGGCUUAACUCUGGGCGUGCGGUCGAUACGGGCAUCACUAGAGUUCGGCAGGGGAGACUGGAAUUCCUGGUGUAGCGGUGAAAUGCGCAGAUAUCAGGAGGAACACCGGUGGCGAAGGCGGCGACCUGGGUAGAUACUGACGCUGAGGUGCGAAAGCGUGGGGAGCAAACAGG
rnacentral:rRNA from 1 species